GACGGCAAAUGCUGUGGCUACUGUGAUUCGGAGGAAGAGAUCAAAAGACUACAGAAUAGUCUUAAGUGCAUAGGGUAUUCAUACUCGGUAAGGAGCAGCCACCAUCGCCAAAAAUUGCAUGAAACCGCCACCAGUAACCCACGAAUCUUCUUCCAGCAAUUUCAGGGUAAAGUUGAAAUCCCAUUUAUGGGAUAUCCGUUUUCGGUGGAAUAUUCCAGCUACCAACAAUGCACCCUGGGCCCCUAAUAUUACAGUAAAAAGGAGACUGUUGUUCCAAGUCACCUGGCUGACCAUGUUAACCCAGCAAAAAAGAGAUUGUUGAUUAUGGAUACGAAAAAGAGCGAUUGCCCUGCCACUUUUUCAAUUAAAUGUGUUAAAGUGUAUCCAGGCUAUUCUGUUCAAUCAGUAGAUGAUCGUGAAAUUAAAAAGAAAGUUGUCCACAGUUUAAAACAGGCUUUGGAGGCAGCCAAUAAGCCUGAAAGUGUUCUUCGCUUUUAUGUGAGGGCGUCACCACCAGACCACCAUACCCACAGCACAGAAAGCAUAAAAGCAAGUGGAGACAUACAUCCCUUGCUAGCUGUGGAAUAGCAAAAGUUGUUGAAGAUGGAACUACAUCUGUGAGAAUAAUAAAGUUGCAUCUUGAAAGAUUUGUGAACAUAACCUUCACAGGACCACACAAGCCAGAUAAUAUGAACACUACAUUUUACCCCAAACAUCUCACAAUAUAUAGUCAUGUAUACAGGGCCCUUAAGAAAUGGAAGAAAAGUGUAUUUGACCAAGAGGCUUUGCAAAUGCAGAUUAAUGAGUGGCAGAAAGAAUAUAGAGGUGACAAUAUUUUUUUCAGACCUUUUUCAGAUGUUGAUGGAGAAAUACAGCCAUUGCUGUUUUGUUACGAGAGUGCAUGGCAGAAGGAUAUGUUAAAAAAAUAUGGAGAUGUAUGUUUGCUUGAUGCCACCUACAAAACAACAAAAUAUGACAUUCCUUUAUUUUUUGUCACAGUAAAGGCAAACAGAUGCUGUUUAGUGGUAGGUUUUUUCUUUAUUCAGGUAGAAGAUACAAGGUCAAUUGCUGAAGCGCUACUUGUUUUCAAGAGGUGGAAUACAGACUUCAACCCAACCUACUGGGUUACUGAUUUCUCAGAGUCCGAGAUAGCAGCAAUUAAAGAAAUAUUUCCAUUUUCAAAAGUGUACUUGUGUUCAUUUCACAGGGAACAGGCUUGGGGCGAUGGGUUAAAAAGGGAGGGAAUCUAACUGUAGGAACUGAUAAGGAGUCUGUUCUGGAGCUUGUGGCGCUAUGUUGCAGCGUCUCCAUCUGAGGAACAGUUCAGACUCAAUGUUGAAAUGUUAGAGACUCAUGAGGUUUUUCGUAGGAACCCCAAGCCACUUAUUUAUUUUAAAAAUCAAUGGCUCUCAGUUGCUGAAAAGUGGGUGAGAGCUUUCGAGAAUAUUGGCACAUUUGCCAAUAUUAGAACCACAAACGGUGCUGAAACAAUGAACAAGAAGGUAUUAGUAAAUAGUUUCAUUCCUGGCCUCAUGAAAAAGUAUUGCCAAAUGAAUUCUGUUAUUAGAAAGAACAAUGAAGUUGUACCUGCAUUUUUGCAUGGAAAGACACAGGAAAAUAUAACACACGUGUGGAAACGAUAUUCUUCUGCAGAAGAAAGCUUCAGUAAAGAGUCAGUGUCAGUAAUAAGUGAGGGUGUUUUUUCCGUGAAAAGCGACACUUCAAAAGAUCUUAGGUAUACUGUAAACUUUGUGGAACCAAGUUGUACAUGUGAAGAUUACCAAAAGCACAAAUAUAUGUGUAAACAUUUGUGCCAUCUUUAUUUUCUAUCCUCAAUGGGGUUUUGACAAAGUAAAUGAAAAGUACAGAAAUAGCCCGUUAAUUUGUUUGGAUAGGACAUGUGGGUAUGGUGCAAGUGGCAGCUGUAUUUCACAGACUGAUUCUGCACUGCGUUAAUUAGAGGAGUCCAGCAGUGAUGAUGCUAUGAAUGAAGAGCAUAACAUUCCUGAACCAUCAGCUUCUCCUUCAUCUCUGUUUCGAGAGGCAAGAGAGAGACGUCGGAAUAUUAUAACUCUCACAUACAGUUGUGACAAUGACACGAUAAAAAAGUGUUAGAGGCACUUAAAAAUGUGGAACAUAUUGGAAGGUUGUCGAACCCUACAGAAAAUCGUCUUCCUUUAACAGCGACAUCAUCUUCAAAAAUGUAGGAACACUCAUUUAAAUGGAGGCAGAAUUUGUGAAACACGUAUUUGACCUUUUGCUUUUCUGGAUGUUCAUAUAGAUUUAAAAAUGAAAUGGAUUGAUCAGAGUAUGGUGAGUUAAGUGUCUACAGCAAUCACUUACAUUGGGAGAUUUUUCAGUUUUACAUUAAAAUAUGUGGUAGUACAGCAAAUUUAAAACUGGAAGAACUUCCCAACCAAAAUGAAAGUCAUGGUUACACAACUUGCCAUACCCUCAUAAAUACAUUUUACCAUCAAUAGUUAAAGUAGAUACCCAACUGUGUGCUGAUUGUGCUGCUACUGAUACUUUUUUGUUAAAUGGUAUUGGUAGCAUGAAGCAAGACUGGAAGUACCAAAAAGCUCUUCUUUAUUUCUUAUAACAAUAAUAAUAAUUAUUAUUACACUUUAUUACAAACAUUGUCAGAGUUAUUGGAGAAAUACAUAAUAGGUGGUACCAAUGGUCAUUACUGAAGGUUGAUACAAGAGACGUAAAACUCUGAAUGGUUCCUAAAAAGCAGAUCUGAUCAAAUUUUACAGAAAGCUACAUGUAAAUAUACAGGAGUAAAAACUGUCACCACUGUUGGCAUGAGAGUUUCCUUAAUGCUAUAGCUAAGACUUUGUAUGUAGUGUUUGACGAUUCAGUAUGGUACUUUUCCAGUAAUGGGUAAUGAAAAUGUCAUGGCGCCUGUGCAGAAGUGCCUAUUUCAUAUUAGAGUUAGCGACCCAUGUGUGCACCUGUUUAAUGUUAAAAAGUGUUGUUUUUAUACGAGUGUUAUUCCAAAAGUAAGGUCCGAUUCGCCGUAACUAUUGAAAUUUGGCGCCAAUGACAAAACACGCAUGCGCGCCGACUCCCGGCAAGCCUUGCGCGUCAAACGCUG